ensembl:lncRNA
GAGAGUCUUUAAAGCUGAAAGAGAGUAGAAGAGGUCAAAAUCAGAGGGAGAUGUAACCAUAGGAGAACCGUCAGAAAGACGUGACACUGACUAGCUUCAAAGAUCAACGACAAAAGCAGGCAUUCAAAUAACAAAAAGUGUACCAUGGCCAAUGGAAAACAAAUAAAAGCAUAGAACCAUCAGGAAUGGAAAAGAUGUUAAUGUACUCAGAGUGAAUCCCAUGGACAGAGGAGCCUGGCCAGCUACAGUCCACGGGGUCACAAGGAAUCUGACACAACUGAAGCGACUUUGCAUGCACAUUUGAUCCUAAACUCCAAGCCUGAAU